GGAGAAGAGGUAGCUUUUCUGCAGUUUCUCCUGACAUUCCUUUUCUGUUGAUUUAAAUACAUCUUAAUGCGAUGUUCGAUAUAAAACAUUCGGAAUGUAGCAACGAAAGUUAAUCAUUUCUAGAAAUAUCGAUAAAUAUCGAUUUUUCUCUGAGAGGAAGUCGGUUGACGACAAUACGAACAGAAUCGGAAAAGUAAACAGCUCCUGAAAGAACGAGGCAUGGUGAAUGAUACAAUACAGUACGAUAGAUACAAUACAAUUCGAAACGAUAUGAUACGAGUCGAUCAGAUUUGAAUCGACGAGGUUGCCAAUAAGCAAGUAGGUUAGAAGAAACUGCAAUGCGGAUUUUAAACGAAUCAGAAACCAGUUACGUGCGUAGUGUAAUAAUGAAAAAAGUAGUCCGGCAUGACAAGAUGCAAUGAUGUUUAUUGAAUAUGUAUUUUUUAUGUAUUCACGUAAAGAUACGUACACGUACAUACAAGUGUAAAGCGAGAAAGAGAAGCAAUAAAUGUAUGUAAGAAUGUUCGAUGUACAUACGUACAUAUAAGCAUUCAUAUAAAUGAAUAUAUAUAUGUGUUUACUAUCAAAAAAAGUUGUAUAAUACUGUACUUACAUCUUUUAAGUCCUGGAGAAGGAUUCCUAAUGCGUCUUCAUUGAUUAUGAACGAUGAAAUAAAUAGUUCCUAUAAAACUGUCUUUUUUUUAAUC